ACUCUCCUGUAUGACAGCAGAGCACAUUGUCAUGUCCAGUUGUAUAUAACUUUGUGUCAUAUUGGAAGUAUUUUCUGCUUCAACACAAGCCAUGACAUGAAAUGCAAUUAUUCACUAACAGACAAACCACAUAAAUUAACAAUCAAUACAUGACAUACUUAUUGCACAUCAAUUCAUUGAAUUGACUGUAUAAACACACAUGUACAUACACAGCCAUGGCCGAGAUAGUCUCACGGGUCAGGGAGGAAGCUGACAAGGCUCUUUAAUGGAAUCUCAAUAAUGGAGUGAGUGUUCCCCUGGGCCCCUAUCAGGCAGACACACACACAGCUCUGCUUCCUGCUGCAGUGAGGAGACGUGCCCAGGCAUGCUGGUCUCUAAUGGGUCCUCUGUGGAGGGAAGAACAGGGAGCACAAACUACAGCCGUGCCUCACUGACGUACACAUAUACAGUUGAAGUCGGAAGUUUACAUACACUUUAGCCAAAUACAUUUAAACUCAGGUUUUCACAAUUCCUGACAUUUAAUCUUAGUAAAAAUUCCCUGUCUUAGGUCAGUUAGGAUCACCACUUUAUUUUAAGAAUGUGAAAUGUUAGAAUAAUAUUAGAGAGAAUAAUUUAUUUCAGCUUUUAUUUCAUUCAUCACAUUCCCAGUGGGUCAGAAGUUUACAUACACUCAAUUAGUAUUUGUUAGCAUUGCCUUUAAAUUGUUUAACUUGGGUAAAAUGUUUCGGGUAGCCUUCCACAACCUUUCCACAAUAAGUUGGGUGAAUUUUGGCCCUUUCCUCCUGACAGAGCUGGUGUAACUGAGUCAGGUUUGUAGGCCUCCUUGCUCGCACACGCUUUUUCAGUUCUGCCCACAAUAGGAUUAAGGUCAGGGCUUUGUGAUGUCCACUCCAAUACCUUGACUUUGUUGUCCUUAAGCCAUUUUGCUACAACUUUGGAAGUAUGCUUGGGGUCAUUGUCCAUUAGGAAAACCCAUUUGCAACCAAGCUUUAACUUCCUGACUGAUGUCUUGAGAUGUUGCUUCAAUAUAUCCACAUCAUUUCCCUUCCUCAUGAUGACAUUUAUUUUGUGAAGCGCACCAGUCCCUCCUGCAGCAAAGCACCCUCACAACAUGAUGCUGCCACCCCCGUGCUUCACGGUUGGGAUGGUGUUCUUCAGCUUGCAAGCGUCCCCCUUUUUCCUCCAAACAUAACGAUGGUCAUUAUGGCCAAACAGUUCUAUUUUUAUUUCAUCAGACCAGAGGACAUUUCUCCAAAAAGUACAAUCUUUGUCCCCAUGUGCAGUUGCAAACCAUUGUCUGGCUUUUUUUUAUGGCGGUUUUGGAGCAGUGACUUCUUCCUUGCUGACCGGCCUUUCAGGUUAAGUUGAUAUAGGACUGGUUUUACUAUGGCUCUAGAUACUUUUGUACCUGUUUCCUCCAGCAUCUUCACAAGGUCCUUUGCUGUUGAUCUGGGAUUGAUUUGCACUUUUCGCACCAAGAUGAACGUGGUACCUUCAAGCGUUUGGAAAUUGCUCCCAAGGAUGAACCAGACUUGUGGAGGUCUACAGCUUUUUUUCUGAGGUCUUGGCUGAUUUCUUUUGAUUUUCUCAUGAUGUCAAGCAGAGGCACUGAGUUUGAAGGUAGGCCUUGAAAUACAUCCACAGGUACACCUCCAAUUGACUCAAAUCAUGUCAAUUAGCCUAUUAACAGCUUCUAAAACCAUGACAUAAUUUUCUGUAAUUUUCCAAGCUGUUUAAAGGCACAGUCAACUUAGUGUAUGUAAACUUCUGACCCACUGGAAUUGUGAUACAUUGAAUUAUAAGUAAAAUAAUCUGUCUGUGAAUAAUUGUUGGGAAAAUGACUUGUCAUGCACAAAGUAGAUGUCCAAAACUAUAGUUUGUUACCAUGACAUUUGUGGAGUGGUUGAAACACUUAUGUUGGAGUCAUUAAAACUAGUUUAUGUAAACUUCCCACUUCAACUGUGUACACACACACACACACACACACACACACACACACACACACACACACACACACACACACACACACACACACAAGCUACAGAAUUAUGUUUGAUCAAUAGACACACAUUGUUCAGUAAUACACGUUUUUUCUCUACUGUGUGUACAGUCUCCAAUCGGCCUCUCUGUUAUUGGAGGCUGAUUAUUCCUGGGUGGGGUGGUUGAGCUCGGUCAAACAUACAGUUUGUUUAAGCUGAGAGGGCCGAGGAGAGCUGCUAUUUGUAAUGAACACAACCAGCACACACACGCAGCCAUUAGCCAGUGAACACUCCACCUGUUGUCUGCUCUGUUCCAGCACAGCAUGGUGUUUGUCUAAUGUAACCCAUUACAACCAUACAAUCUGUACCUGUCUCUGUCAUAUUGUUCACAGCAUGGUGUUUGUCUAAUGUAACCCAUUACAACCAUAUCUGUA